rnacentral:rRNA from 1 species
AACGAACGCUGGCGGCAUGCCUAACACAUGCAAGUCGAACGAGAUCUUCGGGUCUAGUGGCGCACGGGUGCGUAACGCGUGGGAAUCUGCCCUUUGGUUCGGAAUAACAGUUGGAAACGACUGCUAAUACCGGAUGAUGACGAAAGUCCCAAGAUUUAUCGCCAGAGGAUGAGCCCGCGUAGGAUUAGCUAGUUGGGGUGGUAAAGGCGCACCAAGGCGACGAUCCUUAGCUGGUCUGAGAGGAUGAUCAGCCACACUGGGACUGAGACACGGCCCAGACUCCUACGGGAGGCAGCAGUGGGGAAUAUUGGACAAUGGGCGAAAGCCUGAUCCAGCAAUGCCGCGUGAGUGAUGAAGGCCUUAGGGUUGUAAAGCUCUUUUACCCGGGAUGAUAAUGACAGUACCGGGAGAAUAAGCUCCGGCUAACUCCGUGCCAGCCGCCGCAGUAA